rnacentral:rRNA from 1 species
UACGUAGGGUGCGAGCGUUAAUCGGAAUUACUGGGCGUAAAGCGUGCGCAGGCGGUCUGUUAAGACCGAUGUGAAAUCCCCGGGCUUAACCUGGGAACUGCAUUGGUGACUGGCAGGCUUUGAGUGUGGCAGAGGGAGGUAGAAUUCCACGUGUAGCAGUGAAAUGCGUAGAGAUGAUGGAGGAAUACCGAUGGCGAAGGCAG